rnacentral:rRNA from 1 species
GAAGUUUUCAGAGAUGAGAAUGUGCCUUCGGGAACUGUGAGACAGGUGCUGCAUGGCUGUCGUCAGCUCGUGUUGUGAAAUGUUGGGUUAAGUCCCGCAACGAGCGCAACCCUUAUCCUUUGUUGCCAGCGGUCCGGCCGGGAACUCAAAGGAGACUGCCAGUGAUAAACUGGAGGAAGGUGGGGAUGACGUCAAGUCAUCAUGGCCCUUACGACCAGGGCUACACACGUGCUACAAUGGCGCAUACAAAGAGAAGCGAUCUCGCGAGAGCAAGCGGACCUCAUAAAGUGCGUCGUAGUCCGGAUUGGAGUCUGCAACUCGACUCCAUGAAGUCGGAAUCGCUAGUAAUCGUGGAUCAGAAUGCCACGGUGAAUACGUUCCCGGGCCUUGUACACACCGCCCGUCACACCAUGGGAGUGGGUUGCAAAAGAAGUAGGUAGCUUAACCUUCGGGAGGGCGCUUACCACUUUGUGAUUCAUGACUGGGGUGAAGUCGUAACAAGGUAACCGUAGGGGAACCUGCGGUUGGAUCACCUCCUUACCUUAAAGAAGC